rnacentral:snRNA from 11 species
AGAACAUGGCAGAGGAGACAUCAUGUUCAGGAAGACCGUUGUUCCAGGAUGCGGCUCAUCUCUCACAUUGUAGGUGUGCUGAAAUUGCAAUUUUCCAAAAAAUGAGAAAUCUGGCUGCAUAUUAUGUGGUAGUGGGGACUAUACUUGUAUUCCUCCUUG